rnacentral:rRNA from 1 species
UAAUACGUAGGGUCCAAGCGUUAAUCGGAAUUACUGGGCGUAAAGCGUGCGCAGGCGGUUGUGCAAGACCGAUGUGAAAUCCCCGAGCUUAACUUGGGAAUUGCAUUGGUGACUGCACGGCUAGAGUGUGUCAGAGGGGGGUAGAAUUCCACGUGUAGCAGUGAAAUGCGUAGAGAUGUGGAGGAAUACCGAUGGCGAAGGCAGCCCCCUGGGAUAACACUGACGCUCAUGCACGAAAGCGUGGGGAGCAAACAGG